UCCUCUUUCGUUUUCCCUAACUCCACACACGAAUUUUCGAAUUUUUUUGAAUUUCUCUUCCAAAAAUUCUUCGAUUCCACACACAUAAUUCACUCACACACUCUCCGAUUCUUAUUUUGUGUUGGUAUUGACAGGGAGGCUAGAGAAUCAAACCAACCUCUACAAAAUCUACUCAUUCAAGGCACGCCCACAAGGUGUUCGACAAAUUGCUCCAACCAAGUUUGGGGGUCGAUUCUC
rnacentral:lncRNA from 1 species